rnacentral:lncRNA from 1 species
CCCCCCCAGGUGCUGGUGCUGCGGCGCGGCUGGGACACGGCGCUCCAGGCCCUGAACGUCACCAUGAGAACCGGCACCGACACGGCACCGUGACAACACCGGCACCGCCAACAACACCGACACCAACACCGGCACCGGGACCAACAACACUGACACCAACAACACCGACACCAACAGCACCAACACCGGCAGCAACACCACCAAGACUGGCACCAACAACACCAACACCAACAACACCAACACUGACACCAAGACUGGAACCAACACCACCAACACCGACACCAACAACACCGACACCACCAACACCGACACCACCAACACCGACACCAACAACACCGACACCACCAACACCAACACUGACACCAACACCGGAACCAACAACACCAACACCAACAACACCGACACCAACAACACCGA